AUUUCGGUUCAAAUGGAUAACCGUGGAAAAUCUAGAGCUAAUACAUGAAGAAAAAGCCGUGGUAAAAGACGGUGUGUAUAUUAGAAGGAAAUAACCUAUCCGAAAAGGAGGGUGAGACAAAGUAUUCAAAAGAACGGAUCGCAAAUAAAAAAAAGGCGACAAACCGAUCAAAUUUCUGCCCUAUCAACUGUGGACGGUAGCAUAGUGGGCUACGGUGGUAAUAACGGGUAACGGGGAAUUAGGGUUCGGUUCCGGAGAGGGGGCAUGAGAAACGGCCACCACUUCCAAGGAAGGCAGCAGGCACGAAAAUUACUCAAUCCUGACACAGGGAAGUAGUGACAAAAAAUAACAAUGGUCGAAUAAAAUUGUUUGACCAAUUGGAAUGAGAGAAAACUAAAGAAAACAUCGAGUAUCAAUUGGAGGGCAAGCCUGGUGCCAGCAGCCGCGGUAAUUCCAGCUCCAAUAGCGUAUACGAAUGUUGUUGCAGUUAAAAAGCUCGUAGUUGGAAAUGAUAAUGUAAACAAUUUUUUACACAAAAGAAGAACUUCGGUUCUUUGUAAAAGAACAUUAUUCUAUUACUUAUUUGUGACUUGAAAGAGUUGUUGGAACGAAAGUGAAAACUAUACAUCGGUAAAACGGUGUGUAACAAAAAGUAAAGAUUACUUUGAAUAAAUUAGAGUGUUUAAAGCAGACAAAAAAAAAGAUGUCUGAAUAGUAUAGCAUGGGAUAAUAGAAAAAGACUUGAAAACAGGAAGAAAAAAAAAUGGAUAGGAAAACUGAUUUCGAGAAAUGAUAAAUAGGAACGGUCGGGGGUAUUCGUAUUUUUCAGCAGAGGUGAAAUUCAAGGAUUUGAGAAAGACGACAUCAGCGAAAGCAUUUACCAAGGACGUUUUCAUUAAUCAAGAACGAAAGUUUGGGGAUCGAAGAUGAUUAGAUACCGUCGUAGUCCAACCAUWAACGAUGCCGACCAUAGAUGAGAGGUCGUCGCANGGAUGACUCCUUUCGAAAUUARAGGGAAACCUUGAUUUUCNGGUUCU
rnacentral:rRNA from 1 species